CCCAGCCGGCGAGGUACAUGCCUCUUCGACUGGAAGGGUUUCCUUCCAGCCGGUGAGGUACAUAUACCUCGUCGACUGGAAGAAACCCCUUCCGGUCGACGAGGUACAUGUACCUUGUUGACUGGAAG
rnacentral:miRNA from 1 species